rnacentral:rRNA from 1 species
UACGGAGGGUGCAAGCGUUAUCCGGAUUUACUGGGUUUAAAGGGAGCGUAGGCGGGUAUGUAAGUCAGUGGUGAAAGCCCUCAGCUUAACUGAGGAACUGCCAUUGAUACUAUAUAUCUUGAAUGUUGUGGAGGUUUGCGGAAUAGGUCAUGUAGCGGUGAAAUGCAUAGAUAUGACCUAGAACACCUAUUGCGAAGGCAGCAGGCUACACAAAUAUUGACGCUGAGGCUCGAAAGCGUGGGGAUCAAAC